rnacentral:lncRNA from 1 species
UUCUUUCCACCUCGGCCGCUUUUAUUCCCUCUGCCACCAGUAUUACCUCGGCCUCUACCACGGAACCCGCCUCGACCACCUUUCACAACUCCUUGUUGGUUUUGCUGGCUGCCAGACAUAAACAAUAUGAUAUGAUAAGAUGAUAAAACCGAUGAUCUGCUCAUAUAAAUGCGAGCUCAAACUCUUUGACACUUACAUUGGAAGGUGUCUCCCAGAAGGACCUGAACCUCUUCCUCUUCCUACUCUCCCACCUCUAAUUCCUUGUCUGAAAGAAUCAGUGACUCGUCAAUACAUUCACUUCAGCGCAUAAACUCAAAUUAUUCUCUUGUAAAAAAACAGACCAAGAGAUGGCAACAUACCCAAUGAAAACACUCCUCUUCAUCCUUCCAUUCAAUCCAGUCACAUUAACACGAGCUGCAACAGGAGCAGCCUCAGCACUUCCACCCAAAAUCUCCAGUCUCAUAGGCCUUCCAUCCAAGAGUACAUUGUUGUAUUUCCUCAUAGCUUGUAAUGCAUCACUUCUUCUCAUAUACACAACUUCAGCCGAUCCCUGUAUGACACAGAACAUCAGAUACCAAAUAUUACAGCACCACGGUAAUGAGCGGAAUAAACCAUAGCAAAAAGGAAACAGAACUUACACUUGGACGCCCAUUUUUGUCAUAGUGAAUUGCAUAUCUUUUCAGCUCUCCAAUCUCAGUAUAGAGUUCCUAGAUUCCAUAAGGAUAUUACAAACUAACUUCAGAAAUCUCCACAGAACCAAAACAACAGAAGCACUGGAACAUAGAUGUUAGGCUAUACCCUUAUAUCUUCGUUUGUCACUCCCUGAUCAAGGUUGGUAAUAUAAACUGUGGUUCCGACUUCCACUCCCGAUACCCCAACAGCUCUCAGGCUUUCUUCAAGCAAAUCAUUCUGAUUCUGCCAUGGCAAGCUCCUCUUCCUGCGGGCAAGCUAGUCCAGUAGAACAGAUCAAGUCAGCGAAAAGGAUCUGUAGAAUCUUGAAGCCACGCAUUAAUCAACAAAUUUCUUUUAAGAUGAGAAACCACCAAUUUGCCUGAAAGUACUAAACCAGUCAAGGUAAAGAGCUCCAGGACGUAGUAGUAAAGAACCAUCGAAGGAGAAACCAAAUGAAAUGGGCGGAAACAUGCAAUUUUGACCAACUUCAUAUGAAUCACACUGGCGCUAUCAGUCAGUCUCUGAUGCCAAAAACAAAUUCCUUGUAGCAAGGAAAUAAAAAAACUGAGACUGCCAUCAAACUCCGAAGAAAUUCCAGAUGUAGCAAGAGGCCAAUCAUGAACUUCAUGCAUUGUGCAUAUACCCCCACGUAAAGAGAUAAACGAUCAAGGAUCAUAUUUACUAUUAAGUGAAAUUUCUGAACUUCCCCCCUAAACACCGCAAGACUGCACAUACUAGGCAGGCCUUUCCCCGUGUUGCUUAAAAGAACAACACCAGAUAACCCUAUGUGGACUACUUAGCUUACUGGAGCUCUUUAGUGACACUAUCAACAAAAACUUCUCCGCAUCUAUACAUGCCUGUUGAAGUCCCCAGAAAUUAAACCAUAUAAACGACUAAGUACACCGACACUGCAGGUCUAAGAGAAAUCGUCUCCAUAAACUACAAGAUGUUAGAAGAUCCUUGUAAUCUGUGUUUCAGGAAUGAUACAGUAUCCUUCCAGAAUCCAGACGAAGUUUUUGAGUGCUAAAAAAAUGUGUACGAGAGCAUCAAUCUUUUAAGUUCUAGCAUGAUUCCGAAACGCUUCGGUAUUUGGUGGCACAGAAACACAUAGAACAUCCCAGAUUAUGAGCUUGCCUUGUUUAUCGAGAAGGAGGAAGAUGGCCGAGCAUUAACAGCAAGAGGACCUCUACGAACAGGUCCACCUCCUCUUCCAGCUCCUACAACACCAUUAGGUCCACCACGUCCACGUCCACGGCGCGAAACUCCUUUACCUCCAGAUCUUGCAGCUGCAGACCUUGCAGACUUACUCUUCUUGACAAUUUCAUCAAGAGUCAUAUUCAAAGCGUCUGACAUCUUCAAUCCAAUAAAAUCAAACUGGCCUAUUUUGAUACCUGAACAAAUUAGGGUAAAGACAAUAACAAUUAGCCUCAAAUACACAAAUCAAGAACCUCACCGGAUUAAACGAUGAAUCACUGAUUAGUGGAACAUAUGAAUCAACGGAUUCCUAAAACCUAGAACACGAUUGUCAUAAACGAUACCGAGAAAACAAAAAAUCACUGCAAAGAAAUUGACGAAGACUCGUAAUCGCAUCUCAGAAACAUGGCUCAAAGCUCUAGAUCUAGAUUCGUAAUCGAGAAAGUGAAAAAUAAUCGAAAACAAUCGGAAAAAUUAUACGCGAAAUCAUCUAAAGAAGAUGAAUCAGGAAUCGAAACUUUACCAGAUUAGGGAAACAAGGCAGAUCGGAGAAGAUCGAGAGAUCGGCGUUUAGGGUUUUUGAGGAAGCUUUUGGGGAUUUUUUUCUUGUAACCUUUUUUCUUUGAGAAUUUGAUGAUGGAAGGGGAAAAAUAGCUUGUGAUUGUUAAUGGAGAGGAAAAGGAUUUUAUAUAUAGUUCUAGGUCAGCGGGGUAAAUUUGUAAAUUAACUUGAUUUAGGGGGCGUUUUGCAUCUUUUAUCAAAAUUAGACAAUUACCAAAAAAAAAAACAAAAGGAAAGAUUGCCAGCUAAUGCGUUUCCGCGUUUAGUUAAAAAUAGUUUAUAAGAUAAAGACUAUACUUUUCUAAAAUAUCAAAAAUGCCCCAGAAUGUUUUUUUAUUCUAAUCGAAGUUUGAUACUACUACAGUCGGGAAAACAGCCAAAAUCAACCUAUUCUAUUUGCAGGCAACAUUUUUUCAACCCGAAUUCUAAACGGCGUAGUUUAGUAUUCGUUAUUAAAACAAAGAACCAACAAUUGUUAAACGUCAUUGUUGUGUCCAGCCCAAAUGCCACGUGGUCGCCAAGGUGUCGCUGAUUCAGCAUAAAUUAACGGUCUCUUGACGCCGUCAAGAAAGAUGUUAAAAUUGGCUAAUAGUUACAGAGUGCGUUUGUAAUUUGAAUUUUUUUUAAGUUUGGAUUGAUAAAUACAGGGGUUUGAGUUCGGAUUGAAAAAUGCCGCUUGUAAAUAGUUUGGGUUGAUUUUGGCUGUUUUUUUAUAUUACCAUUAAUAUGCAAUUUAUAACAUAAGAAUUCCCAAUUUAAUAAACAAAUUGCGUUAUCGCUGAAACAUUAUGAAAAUGAGUUGGCCUUUAAAAAUUCCGGUUCUUGAAUUUUUUGUUUUUCCAAAAAAAAAUUCUCGAAAAUCAAUUUUUACAUAAUAUUUUGGUUUUUAUUUUUGAGAAUAAAUCGUUUUUGAUAAAUUAACUGUAAGACAUAAUUUGAGGAUUUUAUUAUCAAACACAUACGACACAGAAUUUGAAUUUCCCAAAUAAUGAGUGUAGUUCUCACCUGAUUUCUAGUGUUCCUUAAUCUCUCGGUUUCAAAACUCUUGAAAGUUGGUUCUAUUUACUUUUAUUCAAAGGUUAAUGAGUUUUUGAAAACCGUACUAUGAAAGAAGAUGUUGGUUAGUGCGAAUAAGGAGUGUGAUGGGGACCAUGGGGUUUACAUCUUUACAGGAGUUCUCGGCACACGAGCACAUAUCACAAUAUAUUCUGUUUCUAUAUAUACCAGGUUAUGAACCCGCGAUAUCGCGGAGAAACUCAUUUUCAACAAAUAUAUUUUAUUACGUUUAUGUAUUAAAUUAUUAUUAUAAUAUAUUCAAAUAAUUGAAUUAUUAUAUAAAAUUAACUAUGUCUUAAAGUUAUAUCGUAAAUAUUUUCUAAAGAUAUUAAAAAAAAAUAUGAAUAAAAAUGUAAAAAAAAAAUUAUGAUUAAAAACACUUUUGAAACAUUUUUUGUGACAAAAUAGCUAACGAAGAGUUAUAAUAUAGAGAGAAAACAUUCUAGCGGGUCAAAACCAAAAAAAAUAUAAAAACACAACCAGAAAAAUAACUGUCAACACAAAAAAUAACCGUCAAUAUUUUAACGAAGAGUUGCGAUAAAAAGACAUAACCGAGAAAAAAUAACCGUCGAUAUUUUAACGAAAAGUUGCGAUAAAAAACACAACCGAAAAAAAAUAACCGUCAAUAUUUUAACGAAAAGUUGCUAUAAAAAGACACAACAAAAAAAAUAAAUGUCAACAUUUUUACGAAAAGUUAUGAUAAAAAGACACAUCAGAAAAAAUAAUUGUCAACGAAAAAUGUAACCGUAAAUAUUUUAACGGAGAGUUGCGAUAAAAAGACACAACCGACAAAAAAUAACAGUCAAUAUUUAAACAAAAAAUUGCGAUAAAAAGACACAAACGGAAAAAAAUAACCGUCAAUAUUUUAACGAAGAGUUGCGAUAAAAAGACACAACCGAGAAAAAUAACCGUCAAUAUUUUAACGGAAAGUUGCGAUAGAAAGACACAACCGAGAAAAAGAAACCGACGAUAUUUUAACGGAAAGAUACGAUAAAAAGACAAAAACAAAAAAAGAAACUGUCAAUAUUUUAACUGAAAGUUACGAUAAAAAGACAUAACCAAAAAAAUAACCAUCAAUGAAAAAUUGUAACCGUAAAUAUUUUAACAAAGAGCUAAGACAAAAAGAUACAACCGAGAAAAAAUAACCGUUAAUAUUUUAACGAAAAGUUGCGAUAAAAAGACACAAACGAGAAAAGUAAUGUUAAUAUUUUAACGGAAAGUUGCGAUAAAAAGACACAACCAAAAAAAUAAUCGUCAACGAAAAAAAGAACCGUCAAUAUUUUAACGAAGAGUUGCGAUAAAAAGAUACAAACGAAUAAAGUAACAACCAAUAUUUUAUCGGAAAUUGCAAUAAAAAGACACAACCGAAAAAUAACAGUCAAUAUUUUAAUGAAGAGUUGCGAUAAAAAACAUACCCGAAAAAAUAACUGUUAAUAUUUUAACGGAAAGUUACGAUAAAGAGACACAACCGUUCAGAAGUGCAAAAUGCAUUUAUUGAGGUUGUUAUUUUGGUUAAUAAAGCCAAUUUGAUAUGUUGUCUAAUGGUUGAUGUAAAAAAACUUCGUAGUAUUACUAACUAUACAAAAAAUGCAAUGAAAUUAUAUAAUGAAAAGACGUAACUUUAAAUGAAUAAAUGCAACUAUAAAGAUAUAACUGUAAACUGAAAAGAUACGACUGUAAUUGAACAAAUAUAACCGUAAAUAAUUCAACGAAAAUUCAAUAAAAAAAAUAACCGAUUUAAACGAAAGGUUGCGAUAAAAAACGCAACCGUUCAGAUGUGCGAAUGGUAUUUAUUAGAUUGCUAUUAUAUAUAGAUUUUUGUCUUGCCGUUUAGGACAUCCUUUGAACAUGGUUUUCUCUAAUUUAUCGAGAUAUGUUGUUGAAAUGAAAGAUGCGGACCACUUGAUUAUUUGAGACUCCUACUGAUCUAUUGAAGUAGAAAAUGUAGUAUGAGAUAUUGUAUUGGAGUACACCACCGUUUGAUAGGCCACGAUCGAAUAAAUUGGAUGGUACGAUCGAACGCUAUAAAGUGCGUCUAGUUUGUCCUUCGUUAUCACUAAACAGAAGGAAAUGACUACAAAAAAAAAAAAUAACGUUGGGCCUGAUUGAAAACCAAUUUCUUGAAUUAGAUAUCGAAUAGGUUUACAUUUCAUAUUCCAAGUGACAAAAGAGAUAUCUCAACUUGCUGGUCGUCCUGUUUUAAAAUCUAAACUAUUUAACUUCACAUAAGGAUAAUGUUGUUAAAAUUAAAGCAAUUUUGAUCUUGUAAAAUAUGCUAGAGACUGAAGGAAAACAAAAUACUUUUAUUAUUAUUAACCAAGAUCUUCAUGAAUCAUGGUCCAAUCACAAACUAAAACAUAGAAAACAAACAUUGAACAUAAAACCAAAUCCUCAAAAUAUAACUUAAAGCUCAUCUCUCUUGAUCGCGGAUGGACGAACACCUUGAGCGAGGAAAUCUUUGUAAUACUUGGCUGAUUCUUUCUCAUAACGUGUGAGGUUAUUUUUGAAAUCGACGUAAUAGAGUCCGAAUCUAUUAUCCAAAGUUAUCCAACAAUGACCAUACAAAGUAUCCCGUAACUCUCACCAUCUUGCCAUUCAAAGUUAUCCAACAAUGACCAUACAAAGUAUCCCGUAACUCUCACCUUGUCGAUGCUGCGCAUACACAAAUUAAAUGUUCUUAGUUAGAUCAUUCAAUAGAAUUGUUAGUCUAUCAAAUAACAAAUAAUAAAAUGCUUACCAAAUAGCCUCGUUCAUAGCCAGAAGAUGCCUCUGAAGAUAAUAUUUCCUGUUAUGAUCAGCAGUACCAACCUCAACCGAAUCUUUGUCCCUUAGUUUGUCUCCAUAUCCUAGAAAAACAACAUUAAGAUCAAUAUAUAUUACUCUAAACCUAAAUAAACACACAAAUAUAACAAUAAAUCUCACGAGUUACCAUUUUCCAUAAUCAUAAUUUCCGGGUUUGCGUAUUUAUCCUUGAUGUACUUUAAAAGACUUCGAAAACCUUUAGCGUAGACGGGCAAUGCAGCAGUAAGAGGCUGAAAUAAAACAAUGGAGAAAUGUAUAUUAAUGUUUAGUUGUUACAACAAUCUCAAACUAGGACUAGUUUAAUUAAACGCUUAAUUAUCGCUUAAUUACCUGACUACCAAUGGCGCUGUGAUCGACAUUCUUAGCUGAAAAAAUAAAAGUGAAAAUGUAUACAUAUCAAUUAGUAGUUCAAAAGAGGAACAAACAUAUUUUCUUCUAGUUUCUUGGUUUGGUUUUCAUGUAAGGAAAAAAAAAACUUACGUUCCCAGGCAACAAGAGAAUCUUGCUUCCAACUUGGUGUAGACGGAUCAGGCUUCUCAUUAUGGUUUGAAAAUGUUGAAGUAUAGUAGUUAAGUCCUACGAAAUCGGUCGAAUCUUUCAAUUUUGCUUUUUGCGCAUUCGUAAAUUUAGGCAAUCUGUGGCCAAGAAGGUCUUUCAUGAUUUGUGGAUAAUCUCCAAAAGUAGUUGGGUCUAGAUGCCUACAAAUAAUAAUCAGAACUCCAUUAAUUAAAUUAAUGAAACUAUACUAUACGAGAACUCAUUGUCUAACAAAAUAUAUACUUACCAUCCCAACAUAAAGUCAAGUACACGGCCGACAGUUGGAGUGUCAUUUGAAUCUUUAAGGUCAUGUGGUUCGAACCAAGCCGGACUAUGUGCGAUUCCGAUUUUCCCACCUUUAACCUAUGUCCAUAAACACAACACAAAACAAACUAUUUUCAAAUCCGAAAGCUGAUAAUUAAUUGUGAUUUAUAUCAAAUGUAACUUACCUUUUGGCGGAAAACUUCAACAGCUUCUGCGUGAGCGUUGAGGAGGUUGUGACUGACUACAUAAGCCUCAUAACCGGAUCGUCCAUCUCGGUCUUCGCAACCUUUAACGUAACGAGAACAACGUCCUGGUGCCUUCUUGCCUACGUCGUAACCUGCAUGAGCGAAGACCCAUGGCUCGUUGAAAGUGAUCCAGUUUUUCACUUUUCCACCGUAUUCUGUGAAAACAAAAUCUGCAUAUUCCCGGAAAUCUUUUCUGUAUUUUUGCAAAAAAAAAAAGAUAUUAAGUUAAUAAAUUCUACUUGGACUGUCCGAGAAACUUAAUGUAUUUCGUUUAAUUUACAAAAACAUACACAAUGUUUUGGCUUAAGAAACCGCCAUAUUCGUCUUCUAAAUCUUGUGGAGUGUCCCAAUGAAAAACAGUCACGGAAGGAAGUAUGCCUGGUUACAAUGUAAAAUAGAAAGAAAUGUUAAAUAAUGAUACCUUUUUGCUUCUUUUUUUGUUAAGUAAUUAGUUUAUAUGUAUACUAACCAUUUUUUAGGAACUCAUCGAUGAGGUCAUGGUAGAAUUUCACACCAGAUUGACUCACUCCCUUCUCCUUUCUCCCAUCUAAUAAAACAUUAGUUGUUUCAUUAGUUAUUGAUAUUUCAACAAUCACAUAAAUCUAAAUUCACCAAAUUCAGAUUAUAAAUUAAACUAGAGAUCUUUAGCACAUAUAUAUACUCACGAGGAAAUAUUCUUGACCAUGAGAUUGAGAGUCUGAAUGCGUCUGUGUUUAGAUUCUUCAUUAGUUGAAUAUCUUCCUACAAACAUUUUUCAAGACGAGACAAAUUUUCAUUAACAUCUCCUAUAAAAUGGACAAGGCUAUAGAAACUUGAAUUAAAGUUACAUUAAUAAUAACGAUGGAAGAAAUCAACGGCCACAUCGGCGUUGUGGCCACUACAUCUCUCUGUAAUUUAAAAGUAAAGAAAAAGUGAAUGACUAUUCAUUGAUAUUAAUAAGUUAGUUUAAUUUAAUAUCUAAACAUAGAUUAUACGAGCACUCACCUGGAUUUCUCCUACAAAAGAUAUCCCAUAGAGCCGGUCCACGGCAAGUUUCAUUAAUUGCACCUUCAACCUAAUGACAUAACGAAAAUAGUUGAUGAGUUGAUGAAAUAUUCACAUGCACCAAUGAUCUUAGUUGAUAGGUUUUAUCACAUAUUUCGAGCAUGAAAACUUUUAUAUAAAAAUUCAUAUUUAGAUGGCUAAACAAUAUUAACGAUACUUUUUUUUUUUUUUUUUUUAAGCUAUGCUUUAGUAAAUAUGUUGUACCUGAAACGCAGCAGUAGCCGUGCCAAACAAAAAACCGUUAGGGAAACUUGCUCGGCUUAGUUUGGACGUAGUCGGGCAAACAGGAUCAUCGACGGCUAUUGUCGAAGAGACGACGAUGGUUAGGAGCAAAAGCAGCCCCAUGAGAGGAAACUUUUGCAAUGCCAUUUUGGUUUUAAUGUUUUGUCUUGUUGAAAAAAAUAAGUUUAUGGUGACUGUUAAUUUACAUCUAAAACGGAGUUCUUUAUAUAGAGAUUUUGAUUGUUUGGUAAUGAGUGACUAAACUAUAAUUGUUUAGUAAAAUUAUUUUUUAAAUAGAAUGAUUCAUUGCAUAAUCUCGAUCAUUGUGUUCUUGCUUUCUUUGAAACAUAUUAUAUUAUGCGUGGGAUGUAUAAUAUAAAAACGUGUCUUUAAAUAAAUAGUGUUAUGUCCAAAAAAUAAAGUUCUCAAUCUUUUGUUGCAUCUGCUUCUAAAUAAUAUGGCUCAAUUUUUACUGGCUAAGAUAAGUCUACUUCAAAACUCCGGCAGUAUAAAGUACGAUGAUCUCCUCAUACUUUGGUUUAUGCAUAACUGAUGACUUGAUGUAUAUAAUAAAGAAUUUUUUGAUGAAUAAAAUUUCAAAUUCAUUCCAAAAAAAAAAAUAUUAAGGCUCAAUUUUCUAUAUUCGAAUAGUAUCAUUCAACUCAUUUCUCUGUAAAUUAGUAGAUGAAUGAAUUUAAAAUUGAGCCUUAUAUUUCCUUUAUGAUUUGUACAUUUUUCUACUCUUUUUAGUUGAAUCAAUUAAAUUAUUUUUCCAACUUAUUCAGUUCAAGUGGUAAAAGAUUUUUUUUUUUUGGUAUGAAGUUCAAGUGGUAAAAGAUUAAUAAAUGUUCAUUCAACUCUUUCAGUUUUUUUUUUUUUUUUUUUAAAUUUAAAUCAACCAUUUUUAAUCCCAUAUAAAUUGUUUUGUAGUUCACAGUAGCUAAUCAAAGAUUAAACCUUAUUAUUAAAAGAACAGUAGCUAAUCAAAGGAUCUCUCAUCUAAUGUCUUCUUUUUGAUAUGCCAACCAGGCUUCGUUAAUCUUUUUUUUUUUUUUAAAUUUUGUAUUGUAUAGAUCCAGAUCG